UAGGGAAUCUUCCGCAAUGGGCGAAAGCCUGACGGAGCAACGCCGCGUGAGUGAUGAAGGUCUUCGGAUCGUAAAACUCUGUUAUUAGGGAAGAACAAAUGUGUAAGUAACUAUGCACAUCUUGACGGUACCUAAUCAGAAAGCCACGGCUAACUACGUGCCAGCAGCCGCGGUAAUACGUAGGUGGCAAGCGUUAUCCGGAAUUAUUGGGCGUAAAGCGCGCGUAGGCGGUUUUUUAAGUCUGAUGUGAAAGCCCACGGCUCAACCGUGGAGGGUCAUUGGAAACUGGAAAACUUGAGUGCAGAAGAGGAAAGUGGAAUUCCAUGUGUAGCGGUGAAAUGCGUAGAUAUAUGGAGGAACACCAGUGGCGAAGGCGACUCUCUGGUCUGUAACUGACGCUGAGGCUCGAAAGCGUGGGUAGCAAACAGG
rnacentral:rRNA from 1 species